rnacentral:piRNA from 1 species
UGGCUGCAGAAAAGCGGAUAUUGGUGAA